AUUGAACGCUGGCGGCAUGCCUUACACAUGCAAGUCGAACGGCAGCACGGGUGCUUGCACCUGAUGGCGAGUGGCGAACGGGUGAGUAAUACAUCGGAACAUGUCCUGUAGUGGGGGAUAGCCCGGCGAAAGCCGGAUUAAUACCGCAUACGAUCCACGGAUGAAAGCGGGGGACCUUCGGGCCUCGCGCUAUAGGGUUGGCCGAUGGCUGAUUAGCUAGUUGGUGGGGUAAAGGCCUACCAAGGCGACGAUCAGUAGCUGGUCUGAGAGGACGACCAGCCACACUGGGACUGAGACACGGCCCAGACUCCUACGGGAGGCAGCAGUGGGGAAUUUUGGACAAUGGGCGAAAGCCUGAUCCAGCAAUGCCGCGUGUGUGAAGAAGGCCUUCGGGUUGUAAAGCACUUUUGUCCGGAAAGAAAUCCUUGACUCUAAUACAGUCGGGGGAUGACGGUACCGGAAGAAUAAGCACCGGCUAACUACGUG
rnacentral:rRNA from 1 species